CUUUGAGAGUGGACCUCUGAAAACCAGCCAGCCUGGUAGACAUUACAGCAGUGGAAGUCGCUGGAGUACAUAAACAGUCAAAAUUAUAUUGAAGGGUACUAAAGAAGAUCAAAAGGAAAACUUAAGUCUCUUUUCAUGUUGCAGUCUUUUUGGGCCAGAGGCAAGCCUUUUUUUGCCAGCUUUGAAAACUCCUUGAACUCACGGUGUAAAGCAACCUGGACUGCAAUACAUGACGAAAGGCAAAAAUAACCAGGAAGCCCUGAAAUGAACGCCUGCACCAUUGGAAAAUGCCAGCUCAGAAAAUGCCAGCUCAGAAAAUGCAUCUUUAAAACUUCAAGGUACGUCUCCAGCUGCAAGAUUCUUGCUGAACAUCUGACAAGGCCAUGUGCCAUACCAGGACUAUGUGGGACUUUAAUUGUCUGGUGUGGUUUGUUCAACUGGUGAGGACCUAAUCUUGGAUUUAGAAGCCCUGAUCUCAUUUUUCUGCUGUGUGACAGAUGUACUGGGGCUAAUAAUAUAAUCUCUGUGGGCUCCAUUUCUCUUCUUCAAAAGGGAUGAAUUUUGUACUUGCUGUGAGAAUAGGUAGAGAAAUUAAAGCAGUCAGAGAUGACUUAAGGCAAAAAAAAAAAAGAUACUUUAUGCUGGAAAAUUUUAAAGCAAAUAGAUUGAAACCUGGGAGAAAAUGGGGAAAUUAGAGUUGUUAGAGAAGAUACAGAAGAGCUCAUUGAGAUAAAUAAGGAAAAAGAAGAAGAGUUUUUGGAAGAGAUCAAAAUAUGUAAAAGAGUACCCACUGCUACAGGAAAAAAAAAUAAAAAGGAAGAAUGGAUUCCAUACUUCCUGAAGAUUCCUAACUUACAAAACAGAGAGCACUCAUGAGGUCAUUGGUUUUCCAAGUGAUAAUUCAAAUCCUGAGGCUGAAUGCAGAGAAAAUUCAUAGCUGCAGGAAGUUGUUGGAUUCACAGUACUGGAAAAAGAAGUUUCCCUGCCCCACACACAGCUGCCUGAAGGACCAUGCAGAGGCUUGCAGCCCUUGUCUGCCCCUAGCCAGGGCUGGGAACCCUGCUCAUUCCACCCCUGUGAGCCUGUUCAUGUAUGCACUGUCUGCAGAUGCUGCAAACAACAUCUUGCCAUUCAA
rnacentral:lncRNA from 1 species